GGUCCUUUGGUAUAGUGGUUUGUACAGCUCCCUUUCAUGGAUCUGGGACCAGUUCAAUUCUGGUAGGGACCA
rnacentral:tRNA from 5 species